UCAACAAAAGAAUCAGCAGAUCAACAAGCCUCAAAAACAAAAGGUUCAAAUAGAGCAGAUACGACUAGCAACAUAUUAUCAAGCAUCAGAAACAAAUGACUAUAUCAGAGUAGGCUUACAGUAGACUUCCUCAAUCAGACAAAAUUCCAUAAUUCCAAACCUUCACCAGAGACAGAAAAACUGUCGAGACAACUGAAAAAACAGAAUGACACAUGGAAUAGCCAACAGAACUUGAGAUAGAUUCGAUAGAACAAUAGAAUGGAUU
rnacentral:lncRNA from 1 species